rnacentral:rRNA from 1 species
CCAGACUCCUACGGGAGGCAGCAGUGGGGGAUAUUGCACAAUGGGGGGAACCCUGAUGCAGCGACGCCGCGUGGGUGAAGAAGCGCCUCGGCGCGUAAAGCCCUGUCAGCAGGGAAGAAAAUGACGGUACCUGAAGAAGAAGCCCCGGCUAACUACGUGUCAGCAGCCGCGGUAAUACGUAGGGGGCAAGCGUUAUCCGGAUUUACUGGGUGUAAAGCGCUCGUAGGCGGUAUGUCAAGUCAAGGGUGAAAUCCCCGGGCUCAACGUGGGAACUGCCUUUGAAACUGGCAAACUGGAGUGUGGGAGAGGAUAGUGGAAUUCCAGGGGUAGGAGUGAAAUCCGUAGAUAUCUGGAGGAACACCAGUGGCGAAGGCGACUAACGGGCACAUAACUGACGCUGAGGAGCGAAAGCGUGGGUAGCAAACAGGAUUAGAUACCCUUGUA